AGCGAACGCUGGCGGCAGGCCUAACACAUGCAAGUCGAGCGCCGUAGCAAUACGGAGCGGCAGACGGGAGAGUAACACGUGGGAACGUGCCCUUUGGUUCGGAACAACCCAGGGAAACUUUGGCUAAUACCGGAUAAGCCCUUACGGGGAUAGAUUUAUCGCCGGAGGAUCGGCCCGCGUCUGAUUAGCUAGUUGGUGGGGUAAUGGCCCACCAAGGCGACGAUCAGUAGCUGGUCUGAGAGGAUGAUCAGCCUCACUGGGACUGAGACACGGCCCAGACUCCUACGGGAGGCAGGAGUGGGGAAUAUUGGACAAUGGGCGGAAGCCUGAUCCAGCCAUGCCGCGUGGGUGAUGAAGGCGCUAGGGUUGUAAAGACCUUUCGGAGGGGAAGAUAAUGACGGUACCCGCAGAAGAAGCCCCGGCUAACUUCGUGCCAGCCGCCGCCGUAA
rnacentral:rRNA from 1 species